GAUGAAGAACGUAGCAAAAUGCGAUAAGUAAUGCGAAUUGCAGAAUCCGUGAGUCAUCGAAUCUUUGAACGCACAUUGCGCCCUUUGGUAUUCCGAAGGGCAUGCCUGUUCGAGCGUCAUUAUCACCCCUCAAGCCCCGGCUUGGUGUUGGGCUCUCGGUGGUCGUCUCCGACCACCCGUCUCAAAGAUAGUGACGGCGUCCCAGAGGGAACCGGUACGAGGAGCUUUCACGAGCAUGUACGCGGGACGACUCUGCGGGCGACGGUCUUAUUUACUUUAUAUACAAGUGUUGACCUCGGAUCAGGUAGGAAUACCCGCUGAACUUAAGCAUAUCAAUAAGCGGAGGA
rnacentral:misc_RNA from 1 species